rnacentral:rRNA from 1 species
GACAGAGGAUGCAAGCGUUAUCCGGAAUGAUUGGGCGUAAAGCGUCUGUAGGUGGCUUUUUAAGUCCGCCGUCAAAUCCCAGGGCUCAACCCCGGACUUGCAGUGGGUACGGGCAGGCUAGAGUUCGGUAGGGGAGACUGGAAUUCCUGGUGUAGCGGUGAAAUGCGCAGAUAUCAGGAGGAACACCGGUGGCGAAGGCGGGUCUCUGGGCCGAUACUGACGCUGAGGAGCGAAAGCGUGGGGAGCGAACAGG